UGGGGAAUUUUGGACAAUGGGCGCAAGCCUGAUCCAGCAAUGCCGCGUGCAGGAUGAAGGCCUUCGGGUUGUAAACUGCUUUUGUACGGAACGAAAAAGCUCUCUCUAAUACAGGGGGUGAAUGACGGUACCGUAAGAAUAAGCACCGGCUAACUACGUGCCAGCAGCCGCGGUAAUACGUAGGGUGCAAGCGUUAAUCGGAAUUACUGGGCGUAAAGCGUGCGCAGGCGGUUUUGUAAGACAGAGGUGAAAUCCCCGGGCUCAACCUGGGAACUGCCUUAGUGACUGCAAAGCUGGAGUGCGGCAGAGGGGGAUGGAAUUCCGCGUGUAGCAGUGAAAUGCGUAGAUAUGCGGAGGAACACCGAUGGCGAAGGCAAUCCCCUGGGCCUGCACUGACGCUCAUGCACGAAAGCGUGGGGAGCAAACA
rnacentral:rRNA from 1 species